rnacentral:rRNA from 1 species
GAUGAACGCUAGCGGCAGGCUUAAUACAUGCAAGUCGUGGGGCAGCAGGUUUGUAGCAAUACAGAUGCUGGCGACCGGCAAACGGGUGCGGAACACGUACAGAACCUUCCUUUGAGCGGGGAAUAGCCCAGAGAAAUUUGGAUUAAUACCCCAUAGUAUAAUGAAGUGGCAUCACUUUAUUAUUAAAGAUUUAUCACUCGAAGAUGGCUGUGCGGCUGAUUAGGUAGUUGGCGGGGUAAAGGCCCACCAAGCCUGUGAUCAGUAACUGGUGUGAGAGCACGACCAGUCACACGGGCACUGAGACACGGGCCCGACUCCUACGGGAGGCAGCAGUAAGGAAUAUUGGUCAAUGGAGGCAACUCUGAACCAGCCAUGCCGCGUGGAGGAUGAAGGUCCUCUGGAUUGUAAACUUCUUUUAUAUGGACGAAAAAAGGCUUUUCUAAGUCGUCUGACGGUACCAUAUGAAUAAGCAACCGGCUAAACUCCGUGCC